rnacentral:tRNA from 1 species
CCGAUGUAGCUCAGCUGGUAGAGCACCGCACUCGUAAUGCGGGGGUCAAGAGUUCGAGUCUCUUCGUCGGC